AUCUAGCUGAAGAGUCCCAAAUAGGACGAAACGCGUGUCCUGGAU
rnacentral:hammerhead_ribozyme from 1 species